rnacentral:rRNA from 1 species
UACGGGGGGAGCAAGCGUUGUUCGGAUUUACUGGGCGUAAAGGGCGCGUAGGCGGCCACCGCAAGUCGACUGUGAAAUCUCCGGGCUUAACCCGGAAAGGUCAGCCGAUACUGCGGGGCUAGAGUGCAGAAGGGGCAACUGGAAUUCUCGGUGUAGCGGUGAAAUGCGUAGAUAUCAGGAGGAACACCUGCGGUGUAGACGGCUUACUGGACCAUAACUGACGCUGAGGCACGAAAGCGUGGGUAGCAAACAGG